rnacentral:rRNA from 1 species
UACAGAGGAGCCAAGCGUUGUCCGGAUUGACUGGGCGUAAAGCGCACGCAGGCGGUGGUGCGCGUGGGGGGUGAAAUCUGGCCGCUUAACGGCCAGGCGCCAUCCCAUACGGCACGACUGGAGUGAUGCAGAGGUCGAUGGAAUUGCCGGUGUAGUGGUGAAAUGCGUAGAUAUCGGGGGGAACACCAGUGGCGAAGGCGGCUCUCUGGGGUGCACCUGACGCUGAUGCGCGAAAGCGUGGGGAGCGAACCGG